rnacentral:rRNA from 1 species
CCUACGGGCGGCAGCAGUGGGGAAUAUUGGACAAUGGGGGGAACCCUGAUCCAGCCAUGCCGCGUGUGUGAAGAAGGCCCUCGGGUUGUAAAGCACUUUCAGUGAGGAAGAACGCCUGGUGGUUAAUACCCAUCAGGAAAGACAUCACUCACAGAAGAAGCACCGGCUAACUCCGUGCCAGCAGCCGCGGUAAUACGGAGGGUACGAGCGUUAAUCGGAAUUACUGGGCGUAAAGCGCGCGUAGGUGGCUUGAUAAGCCGGUUGUGAAAGCCCCGGGCUCAACCUGGGAACGGCAUCCGGAACUGUCAAGCUAGAGUGCAGGAGAGGAAGGUAGAAUUCCCGGUGUAGCGGUGAAAUGCGUAGAGAUCGGGAGGAAUACCAGUGGCGAAGGCGGCCUUCUGGACUGACACUGACACUGAGGUGCGAAAGCGUGGGUAGCAAACAGGAUUAGAUACCCUUGUAGUC